UUUGGCUCUUCACUGCAAAGAUUCGAAUUCCUACUAAAGUACAUAGAAGCGUGUAAAACGACAACAUGAAAAACAUUAAAUGCGUGCUUUUGUUGUUGGUCGUUGUUGUCCUGAGUGAGGUCAAUGCAAAAUCUUUUAUUGAUGUUUUACAUAGAGAAAAGCGUGAUAAUGCGUGUGGUGUCGCGGGUGUGAUGUGUUCAGAUAUGCAUUGUACUCAAGGAUUUGGUGCAUUGAUGUGCUCCUCCCCUUCGGGUUCGGGUUGUGUUGCAAGCGCUAACUUUAGUUAUUGUGGAAAACAAUGUGCUUGCGAUAAACAUGGAUGCUUUUGUGGUGACAAAUGCCAUUGCGGUUCCAGCGGAUGUGCCUGCAAUAAAUGAUCAUCAACAAAUGUCUAUUGGUACCACUUCGCAAUGAAAAUGCAGCAUAUUUAGCAUUUCGAUUGGAUUUCAGUACCCAAGUUAAAUUGUACUCGUAAAUUGAAUAAAUAAUUU